GCUGUCAUCCCUGAACUUCAUCACCACCCCACUGCUACCAGUCCCUGGAACUACAGAUAUCUAGGAGGCACUGAAGACUCGUUUCAAUGCACGAGGCUGUCCAUGGAGUGAAAGGCAUUCUUGGAUAAAUGGAUGGUUUCCAUCCUUUCUCUAGAGCCAACAGCAUUUUGUAGAGCCUUCCAGGCUUCUGACAGUCACGAAGGGCCGGGUUGUUCGAAGGAUUGCCACCUGCCAGCAGGCUACUUGAAGCACGAAGUAAAAUCACCUCCAAAUGGGAAGAACUAAGGAGGCAGAAGGUUGAUCCAGGGGUGUUGGCUCCCUUGCACUUUCAGCUUUGCACAUGACCCAGCAGAACCCACAAUCCCAGUGGACAGAAAGCAAGUGCAAGGCAUCACAGCUGAGAUAUGUCAUUUUGUC